AUAUGUUUCUUGGAGCUUUGCAAAUCCUAGUAGUAGAGAGCAACAGAGAAGGCAGUUUGUCAGCUCUCUGGUAAUGGCAGUUAGAACAGGGAACAUGGCUGAAUGCCUGUAAAGUAAUUGAAGUCAUUUCUCAUAAGCUGUUUGUGACUUCUGUUGUGAUGAACACUAGACUACAGUAUUCAAAUGAACGGAAAAUGGAAGUGUUUGUCUCUCUCUGUGUCUCAAAGUCUGUCUUUAGGGCUUUGGGUAGUAAAGACUUUAGUGUCUGAGUGUCUCCUAUUAUUUAAAGUGAAGGCAGAGCAAAGCUCCACAGCAUGUAAACCAUAACGUUUAGCCCAGAGAUACAAUUAAGGUCAUUUUGCAGAUUGUCAGCCACAGAGCCUUGUUGACUGAAGAUGCAAUAAGAAUGUCUUACAUUUUUUAUUAGAAGAAAGUCGCAUUAUCUAAGCCUGUUGUGAAUGGGGCCGAUUAUACCCACGUCUGUGUUGCAAUCACUCACAACAAAGACAUUGCACGACACUACCAAGCUUUUUAUUUAAAUAAUGUUAUGGAGUAUUCUAUUAAACUUUUAUUCAACUGUCUAUUUCUAUUCAUUGGAACAUAUUGUGAAUGGUAGCUCUUCAAUGAAAUCCAGUUUUCUCCCAUUCCUCCAGUCACCUAUGUGGUGGUACCAGAUGGGCCGAUGCCCACCACCCUGGUCUCUCUCCUGGGUCUCCUGAUCGGCUGCUGGGUCCUCAACUUCAGCUGUCUGCGUCCCAAAUGGCAUCCUUUUCCCUGCCUCCUACUGUGGGUUAUCCUUCCAGAACUUCAGCUUCUCCUCUUCUCUACCCCAGCUACCCCCACUGUUCGAUGGAUUUUUCUUCUACCUCAUGGGCUCCUUCAGGAAGCCCCCAGGGACGAGCUCCUCCAGGUGGUGAGAGAGGCAGGGGGCCAGAUCCUGGCCCGACAGCCUAAACCAGACAUUGACGUGACCCAGACCCGGUCUACUGCAGCCUACCACGCCCUGAUGGGCUUGGACUAGGCCCUGUGUACACAGUACAUGAUCUAUGAUCCCCAGAGCCCCUACGGCCCCCCUGGGUGAAGUUAGGAAAGGUGUGGUCAACUCUGUCUACAUGGGUUGUAAAUGUAUAUCGGACUUCCAGCUACUGUCAGUGCCUGAGCCAUAGACACACCAGAUAAACACCAAACUGAGAACAAUGUACUGAAAUGUUGAGGGACUUAAAUUGUCCAAUAAGAAAUAUCAAUUUGCUAACGUUUUUGUUUGACAUUUUGUAACUUUUUCUAUUCUGUGGCCUAAUGAACAUUACACUGGACUGGUUCUGUCUGCUUGCAACCUGACAUCAGGGUCUAUUCAGAAUAAACAGACAGUUGUGAUUCUAUGUCAACUGUAACCUAGAAGUAAGGGGAUUCACUGACUGGUUGGGAAAUCUCUGGUGCCGUCAUGCCACCAUGCUUGUGGCCUCAAAUAUAGCCACCCACCACCACAAGCCAUGACUUGUUGUUUGGAAAGUUUUGGUCUGUAGCUCAAACAUAAGUUAAUUAAGUUUUUCUUUGUGUUGAUGUUUUUAUACCUCCCUGCUCGAUGAUGAUCAAAGAUUAUAAACAUUUCAGCACUUUUCAGUGUUUUGAAAGAAGGAGUAGAAAAUCUGUCAAUUUUCUUCUCCUGGGGAUCUUUUCAUAACGUCAGUGCUUUUGAGAAGACCCUUUUCUUUGAAUGUAUUUUAGAUUGAAUUGUGUUUGUGACUGCGUAUUCUGUUUUCUAUAACUUGCAAUUUUCUUUAAAGAUAAAUAAUCAAACUGUCUUUGAAAGCAGACAUUUUCAACACUGAAGUCACCUCUUCCCUCUGGACUGGUCAGAAUGAAUGGUAUGCUUCAAAAUAAACACCAUUGUUGCAGUAACAAAAUUACAUAGUUGCAAGGGAAUGCAUUCUAUGUCCCGACUGUAAUUCAUCUUAAUUAUAUAUAUCCAAUACAAACUCUCCUAUCCCUGGUAGGAAUGGGCUCAUUCACAUCUAAUUGGGAGUGUCAGCCCUUUAAAACUAAGAGGUGGGUGGGUGGGGGAUAGGGGGUGUGUCUCCAAAAAAAUCGAUUCUAAAGCGAGACGAAGAGUAGAGCAGAAAACAGGAGAGCAAUUAAUCGUCUAGUCACCAAGUUGGCACUUCCUGUGGAAACUGAAAACAUACACGUUUUAUUUUCCUUUUGUCUCUGGCAGCAAGAAGAUGAGAGAAAAAAACACCAACCAGUGUUACCCACCAGACAGAGCACAGUCAACUGCUUUACAGACCUGGGUUUCAAUAGUAUUUGAAAGCAUUUACUUCAUCUGUGUUGAAUACUUCAUCUGUGUUUGAUGGAGCUUGACUGGCAUAAUGGAAGCAAUAAAACAGUGACGAAACGGCAAACCCUGCGUAUCUGGCAAUCCAGGCAGGCUAAAGCUUUAGAUGCAAAAGUUGUUGAAAGAUUUCAAAUAGUAUUUGUACCCAGGUGUGCUGCUGCAGCUUUCUGUCUCUGAGCCCUGAGGUCCUGGGUAUGUGCCAAAUGGCACCCUAUUCUCUAUAUAGUGCACUACUUUUCACCAGGGCCCAUUCACAUAGGGAUCUGGUCUAAAAGUAGUGGACUAUAUAGGGAAUAUGGUGCUAUUUGGGACAUAGCCAUCCUCACUUGGCUAUCUCCCAGGAUGCCCCUCUCCUUCUCAAUAGGAUUAGUCAGGGAUAGGCCUAAUUGCUAUUGAUUGCUGUGUGUCGCAUUAAAUUGCUUCCCCCUUCCUGUGCAUGCGGGAGGUGGAAGGGGGAAAUUAGUGGUGCGGACAGACAGAACCUCAGCUCAGCCUGGUAAUGAAUAGGAAAGCGACAUAGAACCAAAGAGUUUAAGCAGAUAUAAAGUGUGUAUCCAAAAUGACAACCCUAUUUCCUACAUAGUGCACUACUUUUGACUAGAACCCUAUUGGCCCUGGUCAAAAGUAGGGGAAAGGGCACUAUACUGUUUAGGGAAGAGGGUGCCAUUUGGGACAAAGACAGAGGAAAACCCUGACUCACUUCCUUUAGUAGACCUCAGAAAUGUGAUUUCUCUGAAAUGAUGUCCUCUAUCCAUACAUCAAUAAAAUUGACCUACACCCAAACCAGUAUCCUCUUUUUCCUGGUUUAGGCUAUGAGCCAGGCCCUAUCCUCCAAAGAGUUAUUUUCU
ensembl:lncRNA